rnacentral:lncRNA from 1 species
CGUAUGGAGAUCUUGUUGGUUGUGUUGUGGUCCUAUGUCUGGUGACUGGAGUUGCCAGGUUUGGCGGAGGGUUGCUGGGUUGGCUGGUCUUUUGUCGGCGGGCUGGUUUCCUUCGUGCGGCCUGGCGUUGCUGGGUAAGGUUUUUUGGGGGCUGUGGCUGGGGUUUGGGUUGGAUGGGUGAUGUGGUUUGGAUGCGUGUUUGGCAUGGUUGUCGUCUGCUGGUGGAUGGAGUUGGAGUCCUGUUUUUUGUUGUUGAUUUUCCUUUUCUUUGCUGUUUUCGGUUUCUUUUACGUUGGUGUUUUUUUUUUGUGUUUUUGGGAGCCGGGAUUAUUUAGGGGCGAUGGUUCGGCCGGAACUUCUGAAAUUUUCUUAACUCAGCUCACUAAACACGUUUUCUUGACGAGUACUCUUUUUCCUCGUGUUGAUGUUUUAAUGAGGCUCGGCCCUUAGUUUGCUCUCUUGUGCUCUCAAGGUUGUUCUUUUUCUUUCUCUUUUAAUAAAAUCUUAAUUUAAUUAAUUCGCAAUUUACUGUUUUUGAAUUCA